ensembl:snoRNA SNORD115 Small nucleolar RNA SNORD115
GGGUCAAUGAUGAGAACCUUAUAUUGUCCUGAAGAGAGGUGAUGACUUAAAAAUCAUGUUCAGUAGGAUUACGCUGAGGCCU